rnacentral:lncRNA from 1 species
UGUUUUUAAUCUUUUAAUUAUUAAGCGUUUUUAUAUUUAAUCCCUCUUUUAAAAUUUGUUUCACUCUCGUUCUUUUCUUUAAUGAAACUAUAAUUUAGUCUUGGAAAACAAAUACUGUUAAAUUUUCAGUGAAUUGAUUUAAUGGAGUGACACGUUUCAUGCCAAGUUAGAAAUUGAAAAUCUGAAAAUCAAGUGAAAAUGCUUUGGUUCUCUUUCUCUCUCUGUCUCGACCUCCACCCUCGACACCAUCAUCUCGACCCUGGCCUUCCACCUCGACCCGUCACCCUCUGUCGCCUCUUCGGGACAUGUCACCCUCUGCCGCCUCUCAUUCUUGUUCUCUCCGUCUUCAACAACCCAUGGGUCGUUCUUGCUGGGUGUACGACACCAAGCUAUUGGGCGGGUUCAUCUCACUGUUAACUCUUUUCCUGCCUUCUCUCACCCUAAUACCUUCUAUAGUGGCUGGCUCAACCUAGAUGGACUCCAGUACAACAAUCUGUCCAAUUUAUGGAAUUCUUGAUACAUUCAAUGGAACCUUUCGUUAAUUAAUCACAUUUCGUUUGCUCUAAGUGUUUAUGUGGAAUUCAUGGCUCUAGCUCAAUAGGUUGAGGAAUUGCUUCCAAAAAAACAUGGACAAAAAAGAAAG